rnacentral:rRNA from 1 species
AUUGAACGCUGGCGGCAUGCUUUACACAUGCAAGUCGAACGGCAGCGCGGGCUUCGGCCUGGCGGCGAGUGGCGCACGGGUGAGUAAUGCAACGGAACGUGCCCAGUAUUGGUGGAUAGCACGGCCAAAGCCGGAUUAAUACCGCAUACGACCUGAGGGUGCAAGCGGGGGACCGAAAGGCCUCGCGCUAUUGGAGCGGCCGAUGCCGGAUUUGCUAGUUGGUGGGGUAAAGGCUUACCAAGGCGACGAUCCGUAGCUGGCCGGUGAGGACGACCAGCCACAUUAGAACCGGGACACGGCCCUGACUCCUGAGGUAGGCAGCAGUGGGGAAUGUUAGGCAAUGGGGGCAAACCUGACCCAGCCAUCCCGCGUGCGGGAAGAAGGCCUUCGGGGUGUAAGCCGGUUUUGUUCGGGAUGAAAUCCUCUGGGCUAAUACCCCGGGGGGAUGACGGUACCGGGAGAAUAAGCACCGGCUAACUACGUG